GGGCGCUUAGCUCAGCUGGUAGAGCGUCGCCUUUACACGGCGAAUGCCGGGGGUUCAAGCCCCUCAGCGCCCACCA
rnacentral:tRNA from 1 species